UUUCCGUAGGUGAACCUGCGGAAGGAUCAUUAUUGGAUUUUGAAACUUCAGGCUGCUGCUGGCUCUCCUCGGAGGGCAUGUGCACGCUUGUUGUCCAUUAUUUCUCCCACUGUGCACAAAUUGUAGACCUUUCAGUAGGCCUAUGUUGUUUUUCACAAUCUCUGAAUGUAAUAGAAUGGUUUUGAAUCUUUGGAAAUACAAUACAACUUUCAGCAACGGAUCUCUUGGCUCUC
rnacentral:misc_RNA from 1 species